rnacentral:rRNA from 1 species
GAAUUUUCCGCAAUGGGCGAAAGCCUGAUCCAGCAAUGCCGCGUGAGUGAUGAAGGCCUUAGGGUUGUAAAGCUCUUUUACUGGGAAUGAUAAUGACAGUACCCAGAGAAUAAGCUCCGGCUAACUCCGUGCCAGCAGCCGCGGUAAUACGGAGGGAGCUAGCGUUGUUCGGAAUUACUGGGCGUAAAGCGCGCGUAGGCGGUCGAUCAAGUCAGAGGUGAAAUCCCGGGGCUCAACCCCGGAACUGCCUUUGAAACUAGUAGACUAGAAUCUUGGAGAGGUCAGUGGAAUUCCGAGUGUAGAGGUGAAAUUCGUAGAUAUUCGGAAGAACACCAGUGGCGAAGGCGACUGACUGGACAAGUAUUGACGCUGAGGUGCGAAAGCGUGGGGAGCAAACAGG